AGGGGAGUAGCUCAAUUGGCAGAGCGCGCGUCUCCAAAACGCGAGGCUGAGAGUUCGACCCUCUCCUCCCCUGCCA
rnacentral:tRNA from 1 species